rnacentral:rRNA from 1 species
UCCCAGACUCCUACGGGAGGCAGCAGUGGGGAAUAUUGGGCAAUGGAGGCAACUCUUACCCAGCAAUGCCGCGUGAAUGAAGAAGGUCUUCGGAUUGUAAAGUUCUUUAAUUGGGGACGAAAAAAAUGACGGUACCCAAGGAAUAAGCCCCGGCUAACUACGUGCCAGCAGCCGCGGUAAUACGUAGGGGGCAAGCGUUAUCCGGAUUCACUGGGUGUAAAGGGAGCGUAGACGGCGACGCAAGUCUGGAGUGAAAGCCCGGGGCCCAACCCCGGGACUGCUCUGGAAACUGCGGCGCUGGAGUACGGGAGGGGCAGGCGGAAUUCCUGGUGUAGCGGUGAAAUGCGUAGAUAUCAGGAGGAACACCGGCGGCGAAGGCGGCCUGCUGGACCGUGACUGACGUUGAGGCUCGAGAGCGUGGGGAGCAAACAGGAUUAGAUACCCGUGUAC